CCCGUUUACUAGGAACUUCCUCCUUUCGAGCCCUAUAAAAGAGCACAGCUACUGAGCUGGAAAGCAUAUGACGGAGAGGACAGUGGUUUCAGCCCCGAGAUUCACAACAGGGAUUUCCUAAUGGUUUUGAUAUUUGUUAGGUCGCUCCUGGGUUCCUCCCUCCGAAAACUGCAGUUGGUUUUUCCAUCAUUCUGUACAGAGGGUGGACUUGCCAGUCCGUAUACGAAGCAUAAACUUUGGAUUCUGAUGCAGAGGAUCUGCUUCCAUGGGUAGAGCCCACUCCACAGCUGUGACAUCAAGGACCCAUCGACUCCUCUCCUCCUCCUGCUUUUCCUGACCCUCCAAGCCUGUUGCAGAAAUUGGAUCCUGUCAACAGAAGAGGAUUGAAAACACUUCUGUCCCUACCGCAAAAAAAGGCCAGCAUGUUCGUGGGCAAAAAGGUCAUCCCGUUCCAGCAGGCAUGAACUUUGUCCCAUUCAUGCCUGCAGCCACAGCAUGAGAUAGGAUUCUACACUUGGUGGUAACUCAAGCCGCAUACAUGCUCUUGAAAGAAAGGUAACCAAAGGGGUAGUCCAGAGGCUCCUUGAUAGUUCUACAGGACCCGGGACAAAACAGAAGCAGGAGCUUCAUCUUCACUUCCCCUAUAAAGAUGCUAGGAUUUCACCAGGUAGAGAACUUGGUUUGCUUUUGAAUCAAUCACCUUUUCCCCAAUCCCUAGACUUCAGUCCCCUUUAGAUCCAAUGCAGAAGGAACUGACAUUGGAGAUUGAGAGCCCACAGUAGCCACUUAGGGGGAGGAGAGGGGAGGUCAGGUCUGUGAUGAAGAAUCAUCAUCAUCAGUUUUGAAUGAUGUCCAGCUGGAGGGGGACACUGCAGCAAGAGGGGGAGGGAGCCUUUGCUCUUCGACCCUCCACUUAGUGUUUCAUGGUUGGGAGGUACUAGAUAUCUCCUGUAAAAAAAAGUUGUUUUCAGACAUUGCGUCUCAUGCGUCUGAUGGGAUGGGGUGUUUGACACAUCUAUACCAUACCUACUGAUUAUUCGUGCCAGACAGAAAUAAAAUGCUUGUGAGA